rnacentral:rRNA from 1 species
UACGAAGGGGGCUAGCGUUGCUCGGAAUCACUGGGCGUAAAGCGCACGUAGGCGGCUUUUUAAGUCAGGGGUGAAAUCCUGGAGCUCAACUCCAGAACUGCCUUUGAUACUGAGAAGCUUGAGUCCGGGAGAGGUGAGUGGAACUGCGAGUGUAGAGGUGAAAUUCGUAGAUAUUCGCAAGAACACCAGUGGCGAAGGCGGCUCACUGGCCCGAUACUGACGCUGAGGCACGAAAAGCGUGGGGAGCAAACAGG